AACGAACGCUGGCGGCAGGCUUAACACAUGCAAGUCGAACGCAUCCUUCGGGGUGAGUGGCAGACGGGUGAGUAACGCGUGGGAACGUGCCCUUCAGUUCGGGAUAACCCAGGGAAACUUGGGCUAAUACCGGAUACGUGCGAGAGCAGAAAGAUUUAUCGCUGAAGGAUCGGCCCGCGUCUGGUUAGCUAGUUGGUGGGGUAAUGGCCCACCAAGGCGACGAUCAGUAGCUGGUCUGAGAGGAUGAUCAGCCACAUUGGGACUGAGACACGGCCCAAACUCCUACGGGAGGCAGCAGGGGGGAAUAUUGGACAAUGAGCGCAAGCCUGAUACAGCCAUGCCGCGUGAGUGAUGAAGGCCUUAGGGUUGUAAAGCUCUUUCGUCCGGGACGAUAAUGACGGUACCGGAGGAAGAAGCCCCGGCUAACUUCGUGCCAGCCGCCGCAGUAA
rnacentral:rRNA from 1 species